UAUAUAAAGAGAAACCCUAACGUACUCUUUAUUUUUCAUCUCCACAUGAGCCGCCCCCUUAUUUUCUUCCCUUUCCCUUUCCCUUUCCCUCUCUUCCCCUUCCUUUUUUCUCUCUUCCCUUUCUUUCUUUUCCGAUUCUCUUUCUCUUUCUCUUUCUCUUUCUACCAUGCAUCCUCCUCUUUCUCUCUCUUCAUGUUUCCCUUUUUGUUCUUACCUCUAAAAACUCUUCCAUUGAAGUGGAUUUGAGUUAUCUCUAUAAUUUAUUGAAGGAAGAUCUUUAAUUGUUAGGCAAGGUUGUAAACGAAGUUUCCAAAUUCUUCAAAAAAAAAAGAGUGAAGUUUCCAAAUCUACCAAGUUCAAGUUUGAAGAUCCAAGUUUGAAGAUUUUUUAAGUUUAAAGUUGUAAUAUGUGGUUGUAGAUUAAGAUCUUUGUAUUUUUUUUUUGUUUAAUUGUUAUUUGUAUAAGUUCUAUAACUUUUGAGGUUAAUGAAUAUUUCAUAUCCCUUUCUAAAAA